GGAGAGGAUGAAUGUGAAGUUACAAAGUCUACGACGUCAGCCUUAUGUUCCCUGACUCCAGGCCCUAUUUUUCUGCCUCACAACAGGUCAUUGAAGACCAAGAAUCAAGCAAUCGAGCGUCCUCGUCGGUUGUAGCGAAAGAGAACCGUGACCAACAGGAGAGCAGUGUCCACCCAGGUCACUUGGGGUUACUGGGGG